rnacentral:rRNA from 1 species
UACGUAGGGGGCUAGCGUUGUCCGGAAUCAUUGGGCGUAAAGCGCGCGUAGGCGGCCCGGUAAGUCCGCUGUAAAAGUCAAAGGCUCAACCUUUGAAUGCCGGUGGAUACUGUCGGGCUAGAGUCCGGAAGAGGCGAGUGGAAUUCCUGGUGUAGCAGUGAAAUGCGUAGAUAUCAGGAGGAACACCGAUGGCGAAGGCAGGUCUCUGGGCUGACACUGACGCUCAUGCACGAAAGCGUGGGGAGCAAACAGG